CAGAAGGGAGCUUGCUCCCGGAUGUUAGCGGCGGACGGGUGAGUAACACGUGGGUAACCUGCCUGUAAGACUGGGAUAACUCCGGGAAACCGGAGCUAAUACCGGAUAGUUCCUUGAACCGCAUGGUUCAAGGAUGAAAGACGGUUUCGGCUGUCACUUACAGAUGGACCCGCGGCGCAUUAGCUAGUUGGUGGGGUAAUGGCUCACCAAGGCGACGAUGCGUAGCCGACCUGAGAGGGUGAUCGGCCACACUGGGACUGAGACACGGCCCAGACUCCUACGGGAGGCAGCAGUAGGGAAUCUUCCGCAAUGGACGAAAGUCUGACGGAGCAACGCCGCGUGAGUGAUGAAGGUUUUCGGAUCGUAAAGCUCUGUUGUUAGGGAAGAACAAGUGCGAGAGUAACUGCUCGCACCUUGACGGUACCUAACCAGAAAGCCACGGCUAACUACGUGCCAGCAGCCGCGGUAAUACGUAGGUGGCAAGCGUUGUCCGGAAUUAUUGGGCGUAAAGGGCUCGCAGGCGGUUUCUUAAGUCUGAUGUGAAAGCCCCCGGCUCAACCGGGGAGGGUCAUUGGAAACUGGGAAACUUGAGUGCAGAAGAGGAGAGUGGAAUUCCACGUGUAGCGGUGAAAUGCGUAGAGAUGUGGAGGAACACCAGUGGCGAAGGCGACUCUCUGGUCUGUAACUGACGCUGAGGAGCGAAAGCGUGGGGAGCGAAC
rnacentral:rRNA from 1 species